CGCCUGUUUGUUGGACGGGUGGCGAUCGGUCGAUCGGUCGAUUGGUCGAUCGGUAAAUGGUCGGUGGCGGUCCAACAUCAAGGAACAACAAUUGGGGAAUUGGAAAGAAUGUUGUUGCCAUGGCAACAAAGUCACGUCGCAGAGGUGAUUGAUUAAUAAGCAAUCGAAGAGAGGAAGAAAGAGAUUAGAAGAGCACACGUCGAUUUAUAAAUAAUGAAUGAAGGAAGCCGCGAUCGUCCUUCGUCCCGCGCAUAAUGCGAGAGAAGGACCGACUCUCGGCCGAAUUAAAAUUGUUAAUGUCCGUUACGUAAUUUGGAGAAUCGCAGCAAAAGAUGGAUUUGUCCGAAUUACCGAUUCAUCAAUUUGCAUCGGACCGCACUCGUGGCUUCGAUUAAACUCGAAAGAACCACACUCUCGUCCGUCCCACAUUCCGUUCAUAAUUCCGAAGUAAUGAAAAAAAAAAAAAAAAAAAAAAAAAAUGCCAGUCCAGGGUUCGAUAACUCGGUAAUUCGGGAUAAUUCGAUCUGCUAAUCCGACACCGCACCUAUCAAAUGGCACCGGAAGAAAAACUUGCUGGAUUUCUUAUUUUUGGUUCUAAUUUCGCUUGGACGGAACGGAACAAAACAAAUUUCUAUCUUUAGACGGCGUGACGCAACGGUCGGAAAACAAAAGAAGGGAUUCAAGUAAAAAGAUGGGACCUUAAAGAAAAAACGUUUUGUCGUACCGCUGCGAUAAGGGUGACCUAAUGAACUUGACAUUUUGAAACGCUCUUAUCUCGGCACUCGGCACUCGGCACUCGGUGCUAAGUACUCGGUACUAAUGCUCUUUUCAACUGGUCCGCCAUUAGAACACAGCGCCUCACAAAUUGGUCGAUAAUUGUCGUGGAGAUAAGGGCGAGAGUGGAGAGCGUUUCCCACAUCCGAAGCGCCAUGUGCUGCAUGUUGCACCUUCGCUCUCGGCGACAGAUGGGAAGUGGUGCCUCGCGUACCCUUUCCCGGUGCUGCAACAGUUGGUUCCCGUUUCGAUCCAAUAAAGGGUUUAAUGUGAUCUCCUCUCCGUCCUCUCUACCUACUGUCGUCGCAGCGGCCAGGUAGGAAAAAUUAAAAUUGCAAAUCAAACCGAACCACUCGACCACCAACUGUCUUUUUUCAAAACCUUUUUCUUUUUUAUUAUUCUAAUCUCUCUCUCUCUCUCUCUCUCUCCCUCUAUCUCUAUCUCUGUGCCGUCGAAGACGACCGUUGCUGAGCAUUGAGCACCACGUCGCAUUGGCGAUGCACCUAUUUUUCUGAAUGUUUGUUAAAGCGAGAUAAACAAUCAUUAUCAACGAACUUUCGAACUUUUGCACUCUGCAAUUGUUGUGAACAAUUAAAGAAAGGAUCCUUCUUUGGGCAACGUUACUUUUGUAACUGAUGACUGACGAAGAGAAUCGUAAUUAGAAUCUGCGAAUACCUUCAGAUCCUGAUCCCGAAUCGAUUGCGAAUCGUCGAUUGAUAAGUGCACAAAUAAUUAACCACAAUAAAAUAAACAAAACGUGAUUCACGGCGAGACUUGAUAAAAAUGUUUUUACAGUAAUUCACUUAAUCGACGUAAAAGUUGGGAAAGGUCGAGAUUCUGCGACUGAAAAAAAAUCAUCACGACAAAUAUUUAUUAAUUUCGAACGGAACAAACAAACAAACAAACAAACAAAA